UACGUAGGGUGCGAGCGUUGUCCGGAAUUACUGGGCGUAAAGAGCUCGUAGGUGGUUUGUCGCGUUGUCCGUGAAAACUCACAACUCAAUUGUGGGCGUGCGGGCGAUACGGGCAGACUGGAGUACUGCAGGGGAGACUGGAAUUCCUGGUGUAGCGGUGGAAUGCGCAGAUAUCAGGAGGAACACCGGUGGCGAAGGCGGGUCUCUGGGCAGUAACUGACGCUGAGGAGCGAAAGCGGUGGGAGCAACGG
rnacentral:rRNA from 1 species